rnacentral:rRNA from 1 species
CCUACGGGGGGCUGCAGUAAGGAAUAUUGGUCAAUGGACGAAAGUCUGAACCAGCCAUCCCGCGUGCAGGAUGAAAGCCCUAUGGGUUGUAAACUGCUUUUAGCAGAGAAGAAAAGCUUUCAUUAAUGAGAGUCUGACGGUAUCUGCAGAAUAAGCACCGGCUAACUCCGUGCCAGCAGCCGCGGUAAUACGGAGGGUGCGAGCGUUAUCCGGAAUUACUGGUUUGAAGGGGUGGGUUGAAGGAAGUGGUGAAAUCUUGUCGAUUAACGAUAGAAUUGCCAAUGAUACUGGUGCUCUUGAAUUGGGUUGAGGUUAGCGGAAUGUGACAUGUAGCGGUGAAAUGCAUAGAUAUGUCAUGGAACACCAAUUGCGAAGGCAGCUAACUGGGCCGUGAUUGACGCUGAGGCACGAAAGCGUGGGUAGCGAACAGGAUUAGAUACCCUGGUAGUC